CUGGUGAUGGAACUUCAUUCUGUUGACUUCUAGAUUCCUUGCGGAAAGCUGCUUCCUGAGGAGCCCGGUGGCCACCGCUGUCCAUGUGGGCAGAGCCAGGGGGCCUAGACACGGUGCGCUGAGCCCGCUGGCAGCUGGCUGCUGGGAGGCCAGGAACAGCCUCCAGGGAAGACGCAGCAAUGGUAGAAAGAUGGCUCUGCUGAGAUGAGCUCUUAAUUAAUGCACUGAGAGCUCCGAGUCCCACCUCUCAACAGGAAUGAUUGACGUCCAAGGAUACAUAAAUUACACUAAUUGAGCUCUGCCUCUGUUAUUGCCACAGCCAACUCAUCAGAGAAGCGAGGCUUAUACCACAACCAACAUCUUCGCUUGGCAACUCUAAUGAGCCACCC